GUAUUUUGCUGAUAAUCCUUCUACAAUUAGGCAGGCCAGAGCUAAAUAAUUUAUCCUGUAAGUGAGCUGCAUUACUGGAAGCCACAGCUUGGUGAUGAGAAAAUGCUGGGGUAGUACAGAGAAGUGGCAGUUUCAGGGAGCCGAUAUCUGCCACUGAACACCAGAGGGCACAAAGUCUCUAGCAGUCGUCUCGUCUUCUGGCUUUGUGAAUGCCAGCAGCGUUUAAACAAACCUGUUACAGCGACGCUUUGAAAAGCAAACACAAAACUUCACUGGAAUAGCAAAGGGAAAGUAAACGUGCUAACAGUUUUAAAAUGGAGAGGAAAAGAGUAUCACUUGCAGGACGUGUACAUUUGUGAUAUGUCAGCUUGAACACUGAAUACAAUGAGUAUCGUAUGGAUGUACAUAGAUUCUUUUCCGAGACCAUUCCUUCAUUCUGGUUCCUGGAGGAGCGACCUGUGAAUUCCUGAUGACAGACAGUUCCCUUAAAAUUCUACAUGAAUUUUUUACAAGGUUUAAAGGAAUGUAGUGAGAGAUGGACAUAAGGAACAAAACAUUGUUUAGAACAGAGCUUUAUUGCCUGGUGAUCAGAAAAAUUACAAUAUUUCAUCAAAGAUUCCCAGCAUAUGGGAACCUACCAAGUUUCAUGCAUUUUUCAAAAAGUUUUGUGGAUGCCAAAAGAAAUGCCUGACUUCAUCCUCCUCGGGGAGGACAGCCCGCUGAGCCCUCGCGCAGGCGGAGGGAGGCUC
rnacentral:lncRNA from 1 species